rnacentral:lncRNA from 10 species
CUUUAACAGCCGUAGUUCUUUGAUGAGUUAUUUUUCCCCCUUUUUCUCUGCUUCUGUACUUAAAGAGCACUGGUGGUUUGUAAUGCUCCAGGCAUGGUUCUGUAAAGAUAUGACAAAACUGAAACUCCCUUACAGCGAUAUGGUGAGACUACUGGGACUUUGUAUGUUUCCCACGUGGAGAAAUGGGCUAGAGAAAGGACAAGAUUACACAUGCUGGGGAGAAAAGAAAGUAAACCCUGCUGAAUAUCCCCCUAAUGCAAAGCCAGACUGUUUUCUAUCCUGCUCUACGCUAAAAAACUGCCCAUCUGCAGAUGGUUUCACCCUGACUUCAAGCUUCAAAUUCCCCCAUUAACCAGCAGGCCAAGCCUACCAAAACUAUCCAUCAAUGAAAACAGCCACCAUGAGGCUCUCUGAUGAAACUGGCAGUGUCUUAAACAAGUUGAAAGGCGUCUGGCUUUUAUUUUUGAACUCAUGUAUCUUCCCCUUCCUAAAACGUGACAUUUUGAGGUGACUGAAGAGGAUCAGAGAAUACCUUAUAUGAUAUGCUUGGUGGUACAUGCAUUGCUACUUGGGAGACUGAGGCAAGAGGAUCACCUGAGCCCAGGAGAUUGAGGCCGUAGUGAGCUAUGAUCACAAUGCUGCACUCCAGCCUGUGUGACAGAGUGAAACCGGUAAAACAACAACAACAACAACAACAACAACAACAAAAGAAUAAUCCUG